GGCUCUGUAGAUAAGGGGUUAGAGCACUGGUUUUGUAAACCUGGGAUCGUGAGUUCAAAUAUCACCAGGGCCU
rnacentral:tRNA from 1 species